rnacentral:tRNA from 1 species
GAGGGUGUAGCUCAAGUGGUAGAGUGUGUGUCUAGCACGCACGAGGUCCUGGGUUCAAUCUCCAGUACCUCCA